GAUGAAGAACGUAGCGAAAUGCGAUAAGUAAUGUGAAUUGCAGAAUUCAGUGAAUCAUCGAAUCUUUGAACGCACAUUGCGCCCGCCAGUAUUCUGGCGGGCAUGCCUGUUCGAGCGUCAUUUCAACCCUCAGGCCCCCAGUGCCUGGUGUUGGGGAUCGGCCCAGCCUUCCUGUAAGGCCGCCGGCCCCGAAAUCUAGUGGCGGUCUCGCUGUAGUCCUCCUCUGCGUAGUAGCACACCCUCGCAGUUGGAACGCGGCGGUGGCCAUGCCGUUAAACACCCCACUUCUGAAAGUUGACCUCGGAUCAGGUAGGAAUACCCGCUGAACUUAAGCAUAUCAAUAAGCGGAGGA
rnacentral:misc_RNA from 1 species